UACGUAGGGUGCGAGCGUUGUCCGGAAUUACUGGGCGUAAAGAGCUCGUAGGUGGUUCGUCGCGUUGCCCGUGAAAACUCACAGCUUAACUGUGGGCGUGCGGGCGAUACGGGCAGACUGGAGUACUGCAGGGGAGACUGGAAUUCCUGGUGUAGCGGUGGAAUGCGCAGAUAUCAGGAGGAACACCGGUGGCGAAGGCGGGGUCUCUGGGGCAGUAACUGACGCUGAGGAGCGAAAGCGUGGGGAGCGAACAGG
rnacentral:rRNA from 1 species